rnacentral:misc_RNA from 1 species
UCCUAGUUAACCUAGGCAGUCUCACUAGAGUACCCACCUUUCGUGUUGGCAACUAAUGAUAAGGGUUGCGCUCGUUGCGGGACUUAACCCAACACCUCACGGCACGAGCUGACGACAGCCAUGCAGCACCUAUACAGCAGUCCUUACGGAAAAUGACGUUUCUGCCAUUGUCUCCUGCAUUUCGAGCCCAGGUAAGGUUCUUCGCGUUGCAUCGAAUUAAACCACAUGCUCCACUGCUUGUGCGGGCCCCCGUCAAUUCUUUUGAGUUUCACCCUUGCGAGCGUACUCCCCAGGCGGUGUACUUAACGCGUUAGCUCCGAAACAGCCAGGGUUGAGCCUAGCUCCUUCAAGUACACAUAGUUUACGGCAAGGACUAC